rnacentral:rRNA from 1 species
AUUGAACGCUGGCGGAAUGCUUUACACAUGCAAGUCGAACGGUAGAGGGGGCAACCCCUUGAGAGUGGCGAACGGGUGAGUAAUAUAUCGGAACGUGCCCAGUCGUGGGGGAUAACGUAGCGAAAGUUACGCUAAUACCGCAUACGAUCUAAGGAUGAAAGCGGGGGACCGUAAGGCCUCGCGCGAUUGGAGCGGCCGAUAUCAGAUUAGGUAGUUGGUGGGGUAAAGGCUCACCAAGCCAACGAUCUGUAGCUGGUCUGAGAGGACGACCAGCCACACUGGAACUGAGACACGGUCCAGACUCCUACGGGAGGCAGCAGUGGGGAAUUUUGGACAAUGGACGCAAGUCUGAUCCAGCCAUUCCGCGUGCAGGAUGAAGGCCCUCGGGUUGUAAACUGCUUUUGUACGGAACGAAAAGGUCUCUAUUAAUACCAGGGGCUCAUGACGGUACCGUAAGAAUAAGCACCGGCUAACUACGUG